UACUUUAUAGAUUACCACGUUCCUCUGCCCAAGAUCAAUCAUUAUUCGUGACUUUUUCGCAAAAAUAUCACUAUAUAUACUUGACUUAUUCAUGUGACUUAACAGUUAAAGUUUUCUGUAAAAUUCACAACAACUACAACGAUGAAUCUAACUUAUCUUGUGCUUUUGUUAGUCACAAUUUCAUUGUGUCUAACAACAACACUGGCCACCCGGUCCGAUUGUCCGACUAUUUGCCUCGCAGCUUGUUAUAAAACUUGCGAACAGUACUACUCUUGGUACCUAGGUUAUUUGCUCUGUGGCGUAUUGUGCAUUUAAUCGGUAAACAUGCAGAUAAUCUAAUAAAGUACUUACCAAGUCUGUAAA